AAAGUGGAAGAUGAAGAACAAAUGAUCAGGCGAAGACCUCCUGAAUCAAUCCAACCAAUAUCCUCUCUUCCACAUCUUCAACAACAUCUUCUGCCUCAUUCAUUGAUUCUCGAAUCGGCCACCACCAGCGCAAGCCUAAAAUUCCGUUUGUUACUUCAUUGAUUUUUCUGUAAUUUCUUUCCAUGCCGUCACUGGCAGUCGGCGGCGAUUCCUCCGGCGAGAUCCACAAUCUCGAGCUCCCUGCAUUUCAUAAUGUUCAUACCAUUGGGAUUAAGACGGAAGAGCUCAUUCGCGCGAUUGGAAGGCGGUGGAUUGCUCGACAUCGGACAUUUCGGCGUAGUUCCAGGUUUGGUAACUGAUCUUUCAUUGUCUAUGUACUUCGAGCUUUCUGUUGCGCAGCAUGCGCGAAUGAGAGAACUUUGGCUAUCACUACUGUACUCUGUAACGUGGAAAGAAUUCAUGAAAAUUUUGAUCUCAACAAAGAAAGCAUGCGUAAAAUUAUCUCACGUCUCAGAUACUGAGAAUAGACAGAAGAACAGCAGCUGAUUAAACAUAUCUAGAUAGGACUGAAGAACUUCAUCCUUCUUGAUUUAGAAUUUAAGCCUCAAUUAUAUGUUGUUGUCUGAAAAUUCGGAUGAUUAUACUUUCUGUGUCAUCGACAUAAUUAUUUGUUGUUUUAUUCCUGCAUCAAUAAAGACUUUCUUCCCUCUA